ensembl:snoRNA SNORD116 Small nucleolar RNA SNORD116
GGAUCAGUGAUGACUAAAGUAAUAACAGAUCUUGGAUAUGAACAAACUGAGUGACAAGAUCACUUCUCUGGCACUGAGUUCC